CAACUUUUAACAACGGAUCUCUUGGUUCUCGCAUCGAUGAAGAACGUAGCAAAGUGCGAUAACUAGUGUGAAUUGCAUAUUCAGUGAAUCAUCGAGUCUUUGAACGCAACUUGCGCUCAAUGGUAUUCCAUUGAGCACGCCUGUUUCAGUAU
rnacentral:rRNA from 1 species